UACGAAGGGGGCUAGCGUUGCUCGGAAUCACUGGGCGUAAAGCGCACGUAGGCGGCUUUUUAAGUCAGGGGGUGAAAUCCUGGAGCUCAACUCCGGAACUGCCUUUAAAACUGCAUCGCUUGAAUCCAGGAGAGGUGAGUGGAAUUCCGAGUGUAGAGGUGAAAUUCGUAGAUAUUAGGAAGAAACACCGGUGGCGAAGGCGGCCCACUGGAUCGGUACUGACGCUGAGGUGCGAAAGCGUGGGGAGCAAACAGG
rnacentral:rRNA from 1 species